UCAACCCUCGAACCUCCGUUUCCUCAGGGAAGCUCAGGGUCGGUGUUGGGGCGCUACGGCGAGUCUUCGCGACCCUCCGUAGGCCCUGAAAUACAGUGGCGGUCCCGCCGCGGUUGCCUUCUGCGUAGUAAGUCUCUUUUGCAAGCUCGCAUUGGGUCCCGGCGGAGGCCGCCGUCAAACCACCUAUAACUCCAGAUGG
rnacentral:misc_RNA from 2 species